UUUUAUAGACCCCAAAUAUCUACUUUCUUCGAAUACUUACUCAAUGUUUGUCUCCUUCACUAGACUUAAAGUUCCUUGAGAGUAAGAGCCUCACCUGUCUUGUUCCCUUUUGUCUACAGCACCUAAUUCAUUGCUGUCACAUAUUAUACUCUCAAAAAAUUUGUGUGAAAUGAAUGAUGGGCUGUAACAUCUAUCAGCAGCAGCCAAAGGUGAGCAUCCCCAUGAACUGACAGCAAAGGCAGUCAGUACCUUAAGAAAUGACAGCACCUGCCUUGUUUCUUCAGGGCUUCACCAUCAAGAAUAUGACAGCAGCAGCAGCUUAAGCAGGAAAAUACACCCAAAUGUCUCACCUCUGUUUCCAUCAGAUAACUAGCUCACUGUCAUAAGCGUGGAAUAUCCUGAGAGGGACCCAGCUGAUGUGGCUCUGAUUGCAACGUCGAGGAUAGUCUUCUCCUUCAGAAGCAAUAUGGUGAAUCAACGCUUGCAGACACAGGGCAAACCCAGAAUGCUAUUUGUACAAACAAGUAUGGCUCCUCUCCUGCGGAAGUUUCCAGUGCAGAUGCCAAUGUCUUUGCCAUCCAUUUGCCCUUAAGGAAAAGGGCUUGCUGAACUCAGGCAAAGUAGGGAAUUGAGCCUGUUGACUGCCUUGGAUGCUUAGUGUCCCAUAUUCCCUGUGGCUAGCCUGGGCAGAGUCUGUGAGGGAUUAGAGCAUGAAGGCUAUAGUGCAUAAUGAGUUUAAGGAAAAAUUAGCCUGAAAAAAAUCACUUAGCUCCAAAUGUCUAGUGAUAUUUAUAGACGUUGUGGGUUAAAUUUCACUUCACUGACUUUGUCCUUUACAUUGACAAGCUAGAUAAGAUGAUAUCGUUUUAAAUAAUCAUUUGCGUUUAGGUAUUUCUCUGGCAGUUUUGUAUUACAGUUUAAAAAUAGACUAGCCUAUGUCUAUGGCUCAUGUUGGCUAUGGUAUUUUGAACUUGAUUUCUGAGGCUGCUGACAGCUUUUGAAAGAUUUAACAACUGGCAGCAAGAAAAACUUCCAUAGAAUCUCUUCUCUGAAAUUUUUUCUGCUGGAAAAAAGGGCAUCACUUAGCAGGCGUAAAUGUCUCAGUCACUGACUAUAAGUACAAAGGGCCCAGAAGCUGGAAUCUGAAGACAAACAUGGCUCCACUACAUUUUACUCUCAUUGCCUUGGGAAACAUUACUUAAACCAGAAGAAUCUAUUGCCCUCUUUACUUCACAGUGCUACAGAGAGGAUUACAUGAGCCAAUAUUUAUUCAAGAGAAAUGACAAAAAGACUGAGAAUCUCUGAGGUCCUUGGGUUUCCAGAGGUAUUCCUGCAAGGAACAGUCAAGCAGCAUCAAACCUUCAGACCUUCUGAAACAGCCUGGUUCCUCCCAGCACUGGGUCUGGUUCUGCCGCCCUCCUUUCCAACAUGUCACGUCAGUCAUCCUCCCAACAAAUUCAGUAGUUGGUUAAGCAAGCCAUAUACAGUGUUAGUUGACUGAAAUCAAAGCUCUAUAGCUAAUACCAGAGGAAAGCAAAGUUCUGAUUUUCAUAAGGUUUUGAAUGCUGUGCUAUGGAUUUUGGACUUUAUUUUGAAGGCAAUAAAGAUUGUAAUAAAGAUAGUAGCAUGAGUGAACUGGUUAAGAGAUUUGCCAAAAUGUCUAGCCAUUCAACUUCGUAAGUAUAUGAAAUUCUCCAUAGAAGUAUAAUGUUAAAUAAGUGGCCUUCAGUAAGGCAAAAACAAACAAACAAAAAAAUAGAUAGCUGCUCUUUCUAUUUCUGUUACUAUUAAAGAAAAUGUAGCUUUCCAAAUGACUUAAUUUUACUCAUGAAUGAAUGAAUAUUGAGUUAAUAACACUCUCCAUACUUUCCCUUUUUUAUAUAUAUAUAACUUGAGAUAAUAAUUGCUACUUAAAGUAGGAUGUUUAUAAAUACAUGGCAGUACUGUGUAUGCUUUCUUCUUUGUGGUUUUUAUAUGCUUUUAUACGUUCUGUGUAUGAAUGUUGAGGAGAACUUCUUUUAGAAUUAGUUAGAAUAAACUUGUUCAUUCUGAAA